rnacentral:rRNA from 1 species
CCUACGGGAGGCAGCAGUGGGGAAUAUUGCGCAAUGGGCGCAAGCCUGACCCAGCAACGCCGCGUGACGGAAGAAGGCUUUCGGGUUGUAAACUUCUUUUCUCAGGGACGAAGCAAGUGACGGUACCUGAGGAAUAAGCCACUGCUAACUACGUGCCAGCAGCCGCGGUACUACGUAGGUGGCAAGCGUUAUCCGGAUGUACUGGGUGUAAAGGGCGUGUAGGCGGGAAAGCAAGUCAGAUGUGAAAACCAUGGGCUCAACCUGUGGCCUGCAUUUGAAACUGUUUGUCUUGAGUACUGGAGAGGCAGACGGAAUUCCUAGUGUAGGGGUGAAAGGCGUAGAUAUUAGGAGGAACACCAGUGGCGAAGGCGAUCUGCUGGACAGCAACUGACGCUGAGGCGCGAAAGCGUGGGGAGCAAACAGGAUUAGAUACCCCAGUAGUC